GACGAACGCUGGCGGCGUGCCUAAUACAUGCAAGUCGAACGAACCGCGACUAGGUGCUCGCACUUGGUCAAGGUGAGUGGCGAACGGGUGAGUAACACGUGGGUAACCUACCUCAUAGUGGGGGAUAACAGUCGGAAACGACUGCUAAUACCGCAUAGGACAUAGGAUCACAUGAUCCAGUGAGGAAAGGUGGCGCAAGCUAUCGCUAAGAGAUGGACCCGCGGUGCAUUAGCUAGUUGGUAGGGUAAAGGCCUACCAAGGCGAUGAUGCAUAGCCGACCUGAGAGGGUGAUCGGCCACAUUGGGACUGAGACACGGCCCAAACUCCUACGGGAGGCAGCAGUAGGGAAUCUUCCGCAAUGGACGCAAGUCUGACGGAGCAACGCCGCGUGAGUGAAGAAGGUCUUCGGAUCGUAAAGCUCUGUUGUUAGAGAAGAACAGCGCAUAGAGUAACUGUUAUGCGUGUGACGGUAUCUAACCAGAAAGCCACGGCUAACUACGUGCCAGCAGCCGCGGUAAUACGUANGUGGCAAGCGUUAUCCGGAAUUAUUGNNGCGUAAGCGCGCGUANGCGGUUUUUUAAGUCUGAUGUGAAAGCCCACGGCUCAACCGUGGAGGGUCAUUGGAAACUGGAAAACUUGAGUGCAGAAGAGGAAAGUGGAAUUCCAUGUGUAGCGGUGAAAUGCGCAGAGAUAUGGAGGAACACCAGUGGCGAAGGCGACUUUCUGGUCUGUAACUGACGCUGAUGUGCGAAAGCGUGGGGAUCAAACAGGAUUAGAUACCCUGGUAGUCCACGCCGUAAACGAUGAGUGCUAAGUGUUAGGGGGUUUCCGCCCCUUAGUGCUGCAGCUAACGCAUUAAGCACUCCGCCUGGGGAGUACGACCGCAAGGUUGAAACUCAAAGGAAUUGACGGGGACCCGCACAAGCGGUGGAACAUGUGGUUUAAUUCGAAGCAACGCGAAGAACCUUACCAAAUCUUGACAUCCUUUGACAACUCUAGAGAUAGAGCCUUCCCCUUCGGGGGACAAAGUGACAGGUGGUGCAUGGUUGUCGUCAGCUCGUGUCGUGAGAUGUUGGGUUAAGUCCCGCAACGAGCGCAACCCUUAAGCUUAGUUGCCAUCAUUAAGUUGGGCACUCUAAGUUGACUGCCGGUGGCAAACCGGAGGAAGGUGGGGAUGACGUCAAAUCAUCAUGCCCCUUAUGAUUUGGGCUACACACGUGCUACAAUGGACAAUACAAAGGGCAGCGAAACCGCGAGGUCAAGCAAAUCCCAUAAAGUUGUUCUCAGUUCGGAUUGUAGUCUGCAACUCGACUACAUGAAGCUGGAAUCGCUAGUAAUCGUAGAUCAGCAUGCUACGGUGAAUACGUUCCCGGGUCU
rnacentral:rRNA from 1 species